rnacentral:rRNA from 1 species
UAGGGAAUCUUCCACAAUGGACGCAAGUCUGAUGGAGCAACGCCGCGUGAGUGAAGAAGGUUUUCGGACCGUAAAGCUCUGUUGUUGGUGAAGAAGAAUAGAGGUAGUAACUGGCCUUUAUUUGACGGUAAUCAACCAGAAAGUCACGGCUAACUACGUGCCAGCAGCCGCGGUAAUACGUAGGUGGCAAGCGUUGUCCGGAUUUAUUGGGCGUAAAGCGAGCGCAGGCGGAAGAAUAAGUCUGAUGUGAAAGCCCUCGGCUUAACCGAGGAAUUGCAUCGGAAACUGUUUUUCUUGAGUGCAGAAGAGGAGAGUAGAACUCCAUGUGUAGCGGUGGAAUGCGUAGAUAUAUGGAAGAAUACCAGUGGCGAAGGCGGCUCUCUGGUCUGCAACUGACGCUGAGGCUCGAAAGCAUGGGUAGCGAACAGGAUUAGAUACCCUGGUAGUCCAUGCCGUAAACGAUGAGUGCUAAGUGUUGGGAGGCUUCCGCCUCUCAGUGCUGCAGCUAACGCAUUAAGCACUCCGCCUGGGGGAGUACGACCGCAAGGUUGAA